AUAGUACUCCCUCCGUUCGGAAUUACUUGUCUUAAAAAUGGAUGUAUCUAGGACUAAAAUACAUCUAGAUACACUCAUUUCUACGACAGGUAAUUCCGAACGGAGGGAGUACUAC
rfam:Triticum aestivum genome assembly, contig: Triticum_aestivum_CS42_TGACv1_scaffold_577654_7BL